AGAGUUUGAUCCUGGCUCAGGAUGAACGCUAGCGGCAGGCUUAACACAUGCAAGUCGAGGGGCAGCGGGAUGUAGCAAUACAUUGCCGGCGACCGGCGGAUGGGUGCGUAACGCGUAUGCAACCUACCUUAUACAGGGGAAUAACCUUUCGAAACGGGAGACUAACACCCCAUGGUAUUGAUUUAAGGCAUCUUAGAUUAAUUAAAUAUUUAUAGGUAUAAGAUGGGCAUGCGUAUGAUUAGCUAGUUGGUAAGGUAACGGCUUACCAAGGCGACGAUCAUUAGGGGUUCUGAGAGGAAGGUCCCCCACACUGGUACUGAGACACGGACCAGACUCCUACGGGAGGCAGCAGUGAGGAAUAUUGGUCAAUGGGCGCAAGCCUGAACCAGCCAUGCCGCGUGCAGGAAACGACGGCCUUAUGGGUUGUAAACUGCUUUUACAUAAGUACUAACCGGUAUAUUUGCGAAUAUACCUGAAUGUAUUAUGAGAAUAAGGAUCGGCUAACUCCGUGCCAGCCGCAGC
rnacentral:rRNA from 1 species